rnacentral:rRNA from 1 species
AUCUGGGGCAUCUCGGUGCCUGGGCGCAACAUGGCCCCAUCCCGAUUGCUUGCAAUGGGGUGGAGGAAGAGCGUACGCGGUGAGACCCGAAAGAUGGUGAACUAUUCCUGAGCAGGAUGAAGCCAGAGGAAACUCUGGUGGAAGUCCGAAGCGAUUCUGACGUGCAAAUCGAUCGUCUGACUUGGGUAUAGGGGCGAAAGACUAAUCGAACCAUCUAGUAGCUGGUUCCUUCCGAAAC